rnacentral:rRNA from 1 species
GACGAACGCUGGCGGCGUGCUUAACACAUGCAAGUCACGGGGGUCUCGCAAGAGAUAACCGGCGAACGGGUGCGUAACACGUGAGCGACCUGCCUUUCUGCGGGGGAUAGCCGGCCCAACGGCCGGGUAAUACCGCAUACGCUCUCGGCCCGGCAUCGGGCCUUGAGGAAACCUCCGGGGCGGAGAGAGGGGCUCGCGGCCUAUCAGCUAGUUGGCGGGGUGACGGCCCACCAAGGCGGCGACGGGUAGCUGGUCUGAGAGGAUGGCCAGCCACAUUGGGACUGAGAGACGGCCCAGACUCCUACGGGAGGCAGCAGUGGGGAAUCUUGCGCAAUGGCCUAACGGCUGACGCAGCGACGCCGCGUGUGGGAGGACGCCCCUCGGGGUGUAAACCACUGUUGCCCGGGACGAACCCCCUGAUUAGUCAGGGCUGACGGUACCGGGUGAGGAAGCACCGGCUAACUCCGUGCCAGCAGCCGCGGUAAUACGGAGGGUGCGAGCGUUGUCCGGAAUCACUGGGCGUAAAGGGCGCGUAGGCGGCGCGGCAAGCGUGCGGUGAAAGCCCGGGGCUCAACCCCGGGUCGGCCGUGCGAACUGCCGGGCUCGAGCACUGUAGGGGCAGGCGGAAUUCCGGGUGUAGCGGUGGAAUGCGUAGAGAUCCGGAAGAACACCGGUGGCGAAGGCGGCCUGCUGGGCAGUGGCUGACGCUGAGGCGCGACAGCGUGGGGAGCAAACAGGAUUAGAUACCCUGGUAGUCCACGCCGUAAACGAUGGGCACUAGGUGCUCGGGGGAGCGACCCCCCGAGUGCCGGCGCUAACGCAUUAAGUGCCCCGCCUGGGGAGUACGGCCGCAAGGCUGAAACUCAAAGGAAUUGACGGGGGCCCGCACAAGCGGUGGAGCUUGUGGUUUAAUUCGACGCAACGCGAAGAACCUUACCUGGGCUUGACAUGCAGUGGAAACCCCGGUGAAAGCCGGGGCCCCCUUCGGGGCCGCUGCACAGGUGCUGCAUGGCUGUCGUCAGCUCGUGUCGUGAGAUGUUGGGUUAAGUCCCGCAACGAGCGCAACCCCCGUCUUCAGUUGCCAGCGGAGAGGCCUUAAACAAGCCGAGCCGGGGACUCUGAAGAGACUGCCGGUGCCAAACCGGAGGAGGGUGGGGACGACGUCAAGUCAUCAUGGUCCUUACGCCCAGGGCCACACACGUGCUACAAUGGCGCGCACAGCAGGACGCGAACCCGCGAGGGGGAGCCGAUCCCCAAAGCGCGCCUCAGUUCGGAUCGUGGGCUGCAACCCGCCCACGUGAAGCUGGAAUCGCUAGUAAUCGUGGAUCAGCCACGCCACGGUGAAUACGUUCCCGGGCCU